UUUUUUUUUUGAUACUUAGUUUUAACUGCUAAUUUAAAGCAUUCUGCAACUGCUAUCUUUAUUGAACACUGAAUAAAUUUAAUAAAAAUACAAUGAUUUGUAGCAAAAAGGUGUAACUCAUAUCUACAUUGGCAAUCAAAAUAAAUCUGAAGAUCAAGAGAUUUAAAUAGAAUACCUUUUAAAAGGCCAUUCUUGUAAAUGC
rnacentral:lncRNA from 1 species